UGGUUUAGUUGGUAAACCAUGGUGCUUGCAACACCAAGGUUGUGGAUUCGAUUCCCAC
rnacentral:tRNA from 1 species